CCGCGCCGCCCUCGCGAGCCCCUGCUCGUGCCGCUCGCGCCGCCGCCCUAGCAUAUGCAGAAUCCAACGCUCAAGAAUGGAUAAUCAGUCAAUGUGGUCUACGGAACCCACCAAUAGUGCAAUUAUUGUUUGUAAUGGAACAUUACUUUAUGUUAAAUAUCUAACCUCAAUGUACUAUAUGUUCAAAUAAACUUGAUUUUUUUUGUUAAUAAACAAAGUUUGUAAAACUUUGGUCGUAUUUAAGUUAUUUGUAAUGAUUGUAGUCAAUUCUUGUUCAAGAUGUAAAUAUAUUUUUAGGAUACAAAAUCGAAAUAUUAGUGUUUCACACAAAAUAAACGCCAUUAAAAUCUAAAAUGCCAGGUAUUAAGUAGACGAGGUUAUUUUGUUUUACUUGCAGUUUACAUGAAACAUUUUUUUAUCUGUUUUGGGCAUUGUGAACGCACGGUUAUGCCUAGCUUACGAAAAUCCAGUCCAGCGAUCGAAACCAACGCUGGAUUGCAAUUGGAACAAUGUAGAACUACACUGGAAUGCAUUGAGUGGGUUUACAUGUUUCCAGUUGUAAUCCAACGAAUAUGAUCGCUAGACUGGAUUCAUGUAAACCGGACAUUACAAAUCGUUUAUAGGUAAUAAGUCUUAAUAUGAGGAAAACAAGGUUUAUGCAUAUUUAUGUCUGUACAAUGGAGAAAAUAUAGUUAGAAGAUAUUGAAUAGGUUUAUUGCUAGUCAAUUAACAGAAUUCAUGAUUACUUUGCUUUUAAUAUAGAGUAAAAUACUUAGGAGCUUAUAAGACUGCAUUUUUAAAAAGUAAAAAGCAGAUUUUUUUUAAAUGUAAACAAUUUUUAUUUUCCGUUCGAAUAUUAAUCUUGAAAUGUACUAAAUUUAUGUUUAUUUUUAUUAUAAAAUAUUACGUUUUUUCCAAAAUUUAUCGUGAUUAAAAAAAUCGAUGUAUUUAAAAAUUUUAAAAUGAAACUGUCUUUAUAUUUGUAAGCAAAAUGUAAUGCUACCUUGUUUUUCUUACCGAGAAAAUGUCAUGUAUAGUAGAUAUUAACUAUUGUGUAACAGCCACUUGUAAAUUUUGAUAAUUUAAUGUAAAGGAA